CAACCGAAGUGGACGUAUUUCAAGCGAAUCAGCUAAUUGGGCAGAUUUGUUGGCACUCAAGACCGUUUUGCGUGGCUGCUUGUUAUGCUGUGUUUCAAACUUUCAAUGAGUCUUCGUCAUGGUCUUGGUUAGCAGAGAUGACGGCUGCUGUGGUGUAGGCCUAUGGGUGUCUUUCUAUCAACUUCCAGCAACACCAGAUAUGCGAGCCAAGCUUCUAAAAAUCACAUCAGGAGAUCCAUUCCACUGGAAUUCCUAAAAUCACUGCAGUAAGUACAACUCCAGUCAGUCAGUAAACGGUGACAAACAAACAAGGGGAACAUCCUAAUAGUCUAAUUGGCUACGCGUCCUUGUCCUUCUCUUAAUCAGGAUAGUGUCGACAGCUAAAUGCUAAAUAUGUACAUGCAAUCUGCACUAAUAACUGGACAAGUAAAAGCAUCAUCUAAGAAAACAUUCAGUGUAGAUGGAGUCAGUCUACUGUACUUAUUUAUGCUAACAAUAUCUUGAAUAUGACUUUGUUUACU